CCCAGCAAAGAGCACAACACAACCAUUGGCGGUUGUGUUUGCACACUCUUCACCUUGCUCCUGCCCACUCUUCUUGUCACCUGCCCCCUGAUAAGCCCAGCAGUCCUACAAGAUCCUUAUUGACUGGAUUUUGUCAUCCAGCCCUGCAGGAUGCUCCCAUUUGUUCUGAGGAAGGCUGUCCCAGACAGGGAGGAGGAGAUGGAGGUGGAUAUAGAGAUUGAUACAGAGGAGGACAUGGAGACGGAGGGAGAAGACACUGGAGAGGAGGAGAUGGAGGUGGAUGUGGAGGUGGAAGAAGAGAUGGACGUUGAUAUGGACGAGUCCAUUGAGGACAUGGACAUUGAUUAAAAAGGACCGAUGGACAUCAUGGACAGAGAUGCCACCCUUUUGUACAUACCUUUCACAUGUUGUUGUUGUCUUAUAGGUUUUAGGGCUUUUUGUCUUCUGUAAAUAUGUUUCAUCUAUUUUUGUUAGAUAGGUUCUUAUGUAUAUAUGUUCUAUUGAUUGUUGUUGUUGCAAAUAUUCUUACAGCGUAAAUGUGUUCUGUAUUUUUGCUGCUGUUUUUCUGUAAUAAACAAAUUUUAUUUUUCACA